rnacentral:rRNA from 1 species
UACGGGGGGAGCAAGCGUUGUUCGGAUUUACUGGGCGUAAAGGGCGCGUAGGCGGCCACCGCAAGUCAGGCGUGAAAUCCCCGGGCUUAACCUGGGAACUGCACUUGUGACUGCACAGCUGGAGUACGGCAGAGGGGGAUGGAAUUCCGCGUGUAGCAGUGAAAUGCGUAGAUAUGCGGAGGAACACCGAUGGCGAAGGCAGUCCCCUGGGCCUGUACUGACGCUCAUGCACGAAAGCGUGGGGAGCAAACAGG